rnacentral:rRNA from 1 species
UGGGGAAUAUUGCACAAUGGGGGGAACCCUGAUGCAGCGACGCCGCGUGAGUGAAGAAGUAUUUCGGUACGUAAAGCUCUAUCAGCAGGAAAGAAAAUGACGGUACCUGACUAAGAAGCCCCGGCUAACUACGUGCCAGCAGCCGCGGUAAUACGUAGGGGGCAAGCGUUAUCCGGAUUUACUGGGUGUAAAGGGAGCGUAGACGGCGCGGCAAGUCCGGAGUGAAAGCCCAUGGCUCAACCGUGGGACUGCUCUGGAAACUGUCGUGCUCGAGUGCGGGAGGGGCAGGCGGAAUUCCUGGUGUAGCGGUGAAAUGCGUAGAUAUCAGGAGGAACACCGGCGGCGAAGGCGGCCUGCUGGACCGUAACUGACGUUGAGGCUCGAAAGCGUGGGGAGCAAA